GCCUCCAAACCGCGGGUGGGGCCUCCAUCCGAGCAAACGCUGCGCAUUAGCUGCUCGCUCUGCCGCCAGCGACUCCAUUACAGAUGCGCUCCGCAUGAUCUCGGAGUCUGCCGCGGUCUACCGUGGACCUGCUUGCUUCGACGCUGUCAGCGGCAAGCUCGUGGAAAAGGGGGGAGUCCAGUUCCGUUUCACGAGCGGAAGGUGUUUGCUCUCGGGCCUCACUGACUCGUUGCUUCUUGUCAGGGACGUGUUGAAGAGUUGCAGAGAUUUGACUUCAGUUGUGUCUGGUCUUGCCUUCUUGUUUGUUGACUGUAGUGCAUUAGGCAUAAACGAAAGCUGGUGCUACUAAAUGCAAUCUUACUUUGGCCUCCACUUCCCUUUUAGUCUCAUAGCAUAAUACAACUCUCUGGAGGAAGUUACAUAAGUCAUGUCUUGCUUUUAGUUCCAAUUGAUCUCCAACUUAUGAAAACACUCUCAUUCUUGUUCCACUUGCUCCAGAUAAGAGCCAAAAGUUGGUCCUUGAUGCUAUUGUUAAGGUGUCACCAAAGCUUGCGGUCAUACUUGUGGAAGUAAGGUAGUUUCUGGAGAGGAAGUGGUACAUGCAUAAAAGCAACUAUUGGGGGGAAGAGAUGAAGGCCUUUGCAACAUCCUCAUUUACUUCCAAAAAUGGUAAAAUUGUUUGCACAGAGAAACUGGUGGCAAUAGCAAGACAAAGGACCUGUUUGUGUUCGGAAUCAUAUUGCAUGUGCUCAUCAUUUUAUCUUUAAGAACAAACAGCUAUUUGUUCAGCAAAAUAAGAUUCUUAGUGGCCUCAAAAUUCCCUCUGUUAUACUUCAGAUCAUCAUGAAGGUGAGUCAAAUAGCUAAUGUCAAUUCAUGUGCUUGGCAUGUUAUUGCAACAAUGCAUAGAAGGUCUACUUGGUCAACAACUUCCGUUCAUGUGUAGCUGUAGAAGGCAAUGGUUCAGGCUCUUAUUAUAUGGUUUACUUGAAUAUCUUCAGGAUGCCUUCCUGAUAUGUUUCUUCCUCUUGUUUGGGUUGUAAUUGAUAAUUUUUCAUAUAAGAAAUUGAUAACACCAGUUAGUUUUUUCUGUUUCUAAAAUCCUUCAACUUUUGUUAUGAAGCAUAUGGAUUUCUUGGUACAAUAUUCUUUUCC